CAGAACGAACGCUGGCGGCGUGCUUAACACAUGCAAGUCGAGUGCGCGGUGCCGUAGCAAUACGGUACUGGCGCACGGCGCACGGGUGCGUAACACGUGGGUAACCUGCCCUUUGAUGGGGAAUAACCCCGCGAAAGCGGGGCUAAUUCCGCAUAAGAUCCGCAAGGAUGAAAGCCGUAAGGCGUCGAAGGAGGGGCCCGCGCACGAUUAGCUAGUUGGUAGGGUAAUGGCCUACCAAGGCUAUGAUCGUUAGCUGGUCUGAGAGGAUGGCCAGCCACACUGGAACUGAGACACGGUCCAGACUCCUACGGGAGGCAGCAGUGGGGAAUCUUGCACAAUGGGCGAAAGCCUGAUGCAGCGACGCCGCGUGGGGGAUGAAGCUUCUCGGAGUGUAAACCCCUUUCGACCCGGACGAAUACCUCGCAAGAGGGGUGACGGUACGGGUAUAAGAAGCCCCGGCUAACUACGUGCCAGCCGCUGC
rnacentral:rRNA from 1 species